rnacentral:rRNA from 1 species
CCUACGGGUGGCAGCAGUCGAGAAUCAUUCACAAUGGGGGAAACCCUGAUGGUGCGACGCCGCGUGGGGGAAUGAAGGUCUUCGGAUUGUAAACCCCUGUCAUGUGGGAGCAAAUUAAAAAGAUAGUACCACAAGAGGAAGAGACGGCUAACUCUGUGCAAGCAGCCGCGGUAAUACAGAGGUCUCAAGCGUUGUUCGGAAUCACUGGGCGUAAGGCGUGCGUAGGCUGUUUCGUAAGUCGUGUGUGAAAGGCGCGGGCUCAACCCGCGGACGGCACAUGAUACUGCGAGACUAGAGUAAUGGAGGGGGAACCGGAAUUCUCGGUGUAGCAGUGAAAUGCGUAGAUAUCGAGAGGAACACUCGUGGCGAAGGCGGGUUCCUGGACAUUAACUGACGCUGAGGCACGAAGGCCAGGGGAGCGAAAGGGAUUAGAUACCCGGGUAGUC